UUAAAACGUAUCAUCGAUUAGACUAAAAACGGCGAUGCACACGGAAACUGGCCGACCAGAAAGCGAAGUAAACAACAGCCACUUCAAGAGCAGGCUACUGAGAUUCGGUUCAAACUGCUUUCGGUUAGUUUUUCGUACCUAGGUGCAUGCAAUAAUCGCCUGACUAAAGCGAAGCACUCAGAACCCGAACAAUAUGGCCGCCCAAAAGGAGCGGCAGCCGGAGAUUGCCCCGUCGUGGGCCAUAGCCCAAAAGACCGAGCCACAAACCGGGAAUCUUCCACUUCCACAGAGGAUGUGUUAUUUAUAAUGCAUAUGGCAGCUGUGCUAAAUAAAAUUCAAAAGCAGCUGCACUCACACAAACGCACGCACACACAGACAGCGCUUGCGCUCGGUGUACGAAAUUCCAUGACACAAGUGAAAAGUGUUGGUCUGCGAAAAUAUUGAUUUAUCUCGCAAACCCGCUGUCAACCAACUAUCUGUGGGCCCAGCAUGUCGACACCCAAGUCACGCUUACCUUGGAAGGACUCCGGAAUACGGCUCUACUCGAAGAAGUCUGGCUUUAACUUUGCGAAUAAGAGAUGCGGAAACGACGCGCACUUGCCAACGAACGUUGAUUUCAAAUAUGGUGUAAAGUGACCGGAGCAGAGUAUUGGAAUUAACCGAAAAUCUGUCUUCUGUUCGUAGGGGAAGCUUUUCUAGUCUGGUCCCAUUU
ensembl:ncRNA asRNA:CR45908 antisense RNA:CR45908